rnacentral:rRNA from 1 species
UACGUAGGGUGCAAGCGUUUAAUCGGAAUUACUGGGCGUAAAGCGUGCGCAGGCGGUUGUGCAAGACAGAUGUGAAAUCCCCGGGCUCAACCUGGGAAUUGCAUUUGUGACUGCACGGCUAGAGUGUGUCAGAGGGGGGGUAGAAUUCCACGUGUAGCAGUGAAAUGCGUAGAGAUGUGGGAGGAAUACCGAUGGGCGAAGGCAGCCCCCUGGGAUAACACUGACGCUCAUGCACGAAAGCGUGGGGGAGCAAACAGG